GAAUCGAAUAGUUUAGUAGAAACAGUGCAUUAUGAGUCUACUACUAUAACUUCAUGUUAACUAAGAGAGUGCCUGACCACAUCAAGAAGUAUAAUACUAAAUUGCUGUAUCUGAUAGUCCAAAAAAGAUGUACCAUCCAGAGAAAAACCAGGUAAGUGGGAGCAAAUAAGAAGAAAAAACUGAAAAAUGACAAAAAUUCCUUUGAAAAAUAAAAAAAAUAAAAGAGAAAAAAAAAAAAGAAAAAAAG